UAGGGAAUCUUCCGCAAUGGACGCAAGUCUGACGGAGCAACGCCGCGUGAGUGAAGAAGGAUUUCGGUUCGUAAAACUCUGUUGUUAGAGAAGAACAGCGCAUAGAGUAACUGUUAUGCGUGUGACGGUAUCUAACCAGAAAGCCACGGCUAACUACGUGCCAGCAGCCGCGGUAAUACGUAGGUGGCAAGCGGUGUCCGGACUUAUUGGGCGUAAAGCGAGCGCAGGCGGUCAAUUAAGUCUGAUGUGAAAGCCCCCGGCUCAACCGGGGAGGGUCAUUGGAAACUGGUUGACUUGAGUGCAGAAGAGGAGAGUGGAAUUCCAUGUGUAGCGGUGAAAUGCGUAGAUAUAUGGAGGAACACCAGUGGCGAAGGCGACUCUCUGGUCUGUAACUGACGCUGAGGCUCGAAAGCGUGGGUAGCAAACAGG
rnacentral:rRNA from 1 species